rnacentral:tRNA from 1 species
GCGGGUGUAGCUCAGUGGUAGAGCACUGGCUUCCCAAGCCUGGUGUCGCGGGUUCGAGCCCCGUCACCCGCUCCA